rnacentral:rRNA from 1 species
UGGGGAAUAUUGCACAAUGGACGGAAGUUUGAUGCAGCGACGCCGCGUGGAGGGUGUAGGCCUUCGGGUUGUGAACUCCUUUUUCUCGCGAAAAAGGCACAGUUUUGGCUGUGUUGAUGGUAGUGGGGGAAGAAGCGCCGGCUAACUACGUGCCAGCAGCCGCGGUAAUACGUAGGGCGCGAGCGUUGUCCGGAUUUAUUGGGCGUAAAGCGCUCGUAGGUGGUUCGUCGCGUCUGUCGUGAAAGCCAGCAGCUUAACUGUUGGUCUGCGGUGGGUACGGGCGGGCUUGAGUGCGGUAGGGGGGACGGGAAUUCCUGGUGUAGCGGUGGAAUGCGCAGAUAUCAGGAGGAACACCGAUGGCGAAGGCAGGUCACUGGGCCGUUACUGACACUGAGGAGCGAAAGCGUGGGGAGCGAACAGG